CACGUAGGGCGCGAGCGUUGUCCGAAAUUAUUGGGCGUAAAGAGCUCGUAGGCGGCCUGUUGCGUCCGCUGUGAAAGCCCGGGGCUUAACCCCGGGUCUGCAGUGGAUACGGGCAGGCUAGAGGUAGGUAGGGGAGAAUGGAAUUCCCGGUGUAGCGGUGAAAUGCGCAGAUAUCGGGAGGAACACCGGUGGCGAAGGCGGUUCUCUGGGCCUUACCUGACGCUGAGGAGCGAAAGCGUGGGGAGCAAACAGG
rnacentral:rRNA from 1 species